CAGGCCUGUUGUUCAGUUUACCUGAGAAGCUCAAGUGUGAGGAGGCUCUCAGAAGCUGCUCUUGAGUUCAUCUACUAGUGAUUUAGGAACUUUCAUCACUAAGCCAAGUUUUACUUACUGCCUGUGCAAAUUUCUGGAGGACAGGAAACUGACCUUUGAAGAGUUUGGCUUCUUGGGCUACAGCUGCUAUAUCCCAGCCUGAAGAGUCUUUCCACCUUUCAUAAAAACGAUUCCACGUGUGGCUGCGCCAUAAUUUGCAUAAGGACGUUAUGAUAGCAGCCUGAGAAUGGCAAGACAGUAUCACAGUUUGAUCUCAGAUUGCAGCCUGUCAAGAAUGGAGAGGUAAAGGGUAAAGGGAUCCCUGACCGUUAAGUCCAGUCGCGGAUGACUCUGGGGUUGCGGCACUCA